rnacentral:rRNA from 1 species
UACGUAGGGUGCGAGCGUUAAUCGGAAUUACUGGGCGUAAAGCGUGCGCAGGCGGUUUUGUAAGCCAGGUGUGAAAUCCCCGGGCUCAACCUGGGAAUGGCAUUUGGGACUGCAAGGCUGGAGUGCGGCAGAGGAGACUGGAAUUCCUGGUGUAGCAGUGAAAUGCGUAGAGUAUCAGGAGGAACACCGAUGGCGAAGGCAGGUCUCUGGGCUGACACUGACGCUCAUGCACGAAAGCGUGGGGAGCAAACAGG